GAUGAACGCCGGCGGCGUGCCUAACACAUGCAAGUCGAACGAAGCACUUUCUUUAGAUUCUUCGGAUGAAGAAGACUGUGACUGAGUGGCGGACGGGUGAGUAACGCGUGGGCAACCUGCCCUGUACAGGGGGAUAACAGUUAGAAAUGACUGCUAAUACCGCAUAAGCGCACGAGGACGCAUGUUCUUGUGUGAAAAACUCCGGUGGUACAGGAUGGGCCCGCGUCUGAUUAGGUAGUUGGUGGGGCAGCGGCCUACCAAGCCGACGAUCAGUAGCCGACCUGAGAGGGUGACCGGCCACAUUGGGACUGAGACACGGCCCAAACUCCUACGGGAGGCAGCAGUGGGGAAUAUUGCACAAUGGGGGAAACCCUGAUGCAGCGACGCCGCGUGAAGGAAGAAGUAUUUCGGUAUGUAAACUUCUAUCAGCAGGGAAGAAACUGACGGUACCUGACUAAGAAGCACCGGCUAAAUACGUGCCAGCAGCCGCGGUAAUACGUAUGGUGCAAGCGUUAUCCGGAUUUACUGGGUGUAAAGGGAGCGUAGACGGAGAGGCAAGUCUGAAGUGAAAGCCCGGGGCUCAACCCCGGGAUUGCUUUGGAAACUGCAGUUCUAGAGUGCCGGAGAGGUAAGCGGAAUUCCUAGUGUAGCGGUGAAAUGCGUAGAUAUUAGGAGGAACACCAGUGGCGAAGGCGGCUUACUGGACG
rnacentral:rRNA from 1 species